AGUCACUGACAUUAGAUACCCCUGUAGUCCAGGGUGUAAACGCUGCAGACUUGGUGUUGGAGGCCCUUUGGGGGCAUUCAGUGCCGGAGAGAAGUUGUUAAGUCUGCUACUUGGGAGUACGUCCGCAAGGAUGAAACUUAAAGGAAUUGGCGGGGGAGCACCGCAACGGGAGGAGCGUGCGGUUUAAUUGGAUUCAACACCGUAAAACUCACCAGGGAAGACUGUUACAUGAAAGCCGAGAUGAAGACUCUGCUAGAUUUUCAG
rnacentral:rRNA from 1 species